rnacentral:lncRNA from 1 species
AGGCAUUCUGGACGUGUGGUGCUGUCUAAUUGUGGUUUUAAUUUGCAUUUCUAUGAUGACUAAUGAAAUAGAACAUGUUUUCAUAAGUGAGAAUUAAAAACACGGCAGGUGAGAGACUCGAGACACCUUACUCUUAUCAUCCAAAAAUAUUUGGGCCUCUAAGACAGUGAAGAUGAAGCCAUCACUCUCUGGAGACUAAGAGUCAAAGGUGAAUGAGUGCCAUGAUCGAAAGAGAAGCUUCCAUUGCUCAGAUAUGAUAAGGAAACGCCCAGGAGGAAGGGAACUCUUCUCAGUUGGAUGGCCCAACACAGGUUCCAUCAUGGAUAUCACUCAUGCAGUAAGUGCCUCAGGAAAUGAGUGCUAAGCAAAGCCACACAGCAAUCUGGUAGCAAGAUUGGCCCUGAGCUAACAUCCAUUGUCAAACUUCCACCUUUUGCUUGAGAAAGAGUGUCCCUGAGCUAACAUCUAUGCCAACCUUCCUUCAUUUUGUAUGUGGGACGCUGCUACAGUGUGGCGUGAUGAACAGUGUGUAGGUCUGCACCCGGGAUCUGAACCCACGAACCCCAGGAUGCUGAAGUGGAGCAUGCAGAGCUUAACCACUACAUGACCG